GGUGGUGUGUUCAGAAAGGUUUUGUUUAUGUACCAAAGAGUGUGAAGAAAGAACGAAUGAUUGAAAAUGCACAGGUUUUUGAUUUUGAGUUGAGUGCAGAAGAAAUGAGUGAGUUAGAUUCACUAACAGAUCCAAAAACCAUACAGAC
rnacentral:ribozyme from 11 species